AUCACAGCUUCUGCAGGGAAUGUUCCAUCGGGCUGAGGCUGGCGGGGGAAGAGCGGAUCGUGCCUGCAGUUGGGAAAGACUACCUCAUCUUCCAGCUUCCCUUGAUAGAAGUCCGUGCUCUAGUGCCAGCUCUAGAGAGAGGAGGUUUAGAUGGAAACAACAUCACAUUCAAUGAAGCUGGGAUUUUCCAGGUCUCCUGUUUACCCAGUGUAACUACAGGAUCACAGUUGAAACAUGAAUAUUUGGGAACCAGCACACAGACACUUGAAGGGCACGAAUGAAGCCUCAGCAGGCACAGUGGGCACUUGAUGGCAUGAAAGAAGCCUCAAGUUACAGUGAGUAUAGAGAUGGAGAGAAAGGGAAAAGGAUCAGCAUGCACUGGACAAUGGAGAGAGUAUAUCCUGGAAAGACCCAUGGACCUCCAAGUGGAAGGAUAGUAUGUGCACUGGCAUUGUUCUUAAGAGGACCUGCUGGUUAUCCUGACACAGAGGAGAUUUGGGGAAACAACAGUUGUGCUGAUACUUCUCCGCUGAGGCUGGAAGAGCGCUAGCUCUUGAAACUGCUGGAGAAGACAGAAGACAACGUGAAUAAUAAAUAAAUAAGUACAUAAAUAAAGCUCUUAAGAAGACUAGAUGCAAUACACAUAAAUGCACAAGACUAUGAAACAAAAAAGCAUGAUUUUGCUCCCUUUUUAAAUUGAGGCUUUGUGUUCAGUGAAAUGCACAAAUUUUAAGUUCACAGUUUGAUGAGCUCUGAUUAAUCCAUUUACCCAUGUAAACCACACACCCAGCUCUAUAUAGAACAUUUCCAAUACCUUGUGCUACUUCCUGUAAAUUCCCACUCUUACCUAUUUCCCCCUCCCCAGGAAAUUUCUUAUCUUCUAUUACCAUUAGAUUAGUUUUGUUUGAUUCAGAACUUCAUGUACCCAAAACCUCAUUAUGCGUACUUUUUGAUGUUUGACUUUUUUCACUCAGUGUAAUGUUUUAGAGAUUCAUUCAUGUUGUUGCAUGUGUCUGUAAGUUUUUCUUUUUUUAAUGCUGAGUAGUAUUCUAUUGAGUGAGUAUACCACACAUUUUUAUUCACUUUCUUGAUGAUGGACAUGUGAGUUGUUUUCACUUGGGGCUAUGAUCAAUAAAGCAUCUAUAACAUUUUUACACAAACAUAUGAAAACCAUUAUUUUUAAAACACAACACUGAAGGUACACUGAAGGAGAAUGAUUGAAUCUUGCUAAUUGUUCUGAAA